CUUUACAUGUUACUAUUAUGAAACAGAUACAUCGGGGUCGUCUUUCCGCAUGGACACACUGGGCACUUGCCUGGGGCCCCACAAGCAUAGGGGCCCCUGCCAGCCCACAGAGCGCCGGCCCUGCUCAGAUGCUUUGGGCCGUCUCGGGCCAGUGAGGAGAUUAAGGAUCUCCCUCACCGGCCCAAGAGGCCCUUCGUCGGUGACAGGAAAGAAGGAGGGAGCUGGGAGGAAGUUCCUCCUGCGAGAAUGAUGAUUGGAGCAUUGCUG